rnacentral:rRNA from 1 species
CGUGUAGGCGGCCUCUUAAGUCUGAUGUGAAAGCCCGGGGCUUACCCCCGGAAGCGCAUUGGAAACUGGGAGGCUGGAGUACCGGAGAGGAAGGUGGAAUUCCUGGUGUAGCGGUGAAAUGCGUAGAUAUCAGGAGGAACACCGGUGGCGAAGGCGGCCUUCUGGACGGAUACUGACGCUGAGACGCGAAAGCGUGGGGAGCAAACAGGAUUAGAUACCCUGGUAGUCCACGCUGUAAACGAUGGGCACUAGGUGUUCGGGGUAUUGACCCCCUGAGUGCCGCAGCUAACGCAUUAAGUGCCCCGCCUGGGGACUACGGCCGCAAGGUUAAA